UUUAUUUAUUUUAAUUUAAGGUUAAUUACUUUACAAUAUUGUAUUGGUUUUGCCAUACAUCAACAUGUAUCUGCCGCAGGUAUACACGUGUUCCCCAUCCUGAACACCCCUCCCACCUCCCUCCCCAUACCAUCCCUCUGGGUCGUCUCAGUGUACCAGCCCCAAGCAUCCAGUAUCAUGCAUUGAACUUGGACUGGAAACUUGUUUCAUAUAUGAUAUUAUACAUCUUUCAAUGCCAUUCUCCCGAAUCAUCCCACAAAGUGAGAGACUUUAUUUGGGGGGGGCGGGCUCCAAAAUCAUUGCAGAUGGUGACUAUAGCCGUGAAAUUAAAGAUGCUUCCUCCUUGGAAGAAAAGCUAUGAUCAACCCAGACAGCAUAUUAAAAAGCAAAGACAUUACUUUGCCAACAAAGGUCCAUCUAGUCAAAGCUAUGGUUUUCCAGUAGUCAUGUAUGGAUGUAAGUUGGAUUACAAAGAAAGCUGAGUAACAAGGAAUUGAUGCUUUUGAACUAUGGUGUUGGAGAAGACUCUUGAGAGUCUCUUGGACUGAAAGGAGAUCAAACCUGUCAAUCCUAAAGGAAAUCAGUCCUGAAUAUUCAUUGGAAGGACUGAUUCUGAAGCUGAAACUCCAAUACUUUGGCCACCUAAUGUGAAGAACUGACUCCUUGGAAAAGACCCUGAUGCUGGGAAAGAUUGAAAGCAGGAGAAGUAGAAGGGGACGACAAAGGAUGAAAUGUCUGGAUGGUAUCUCCAACUCGAUGGACUUAAGUUUGAGCAAGCUUCAGGAGUUGGUGAUGGACAGGGAAGCCUGGCAUGCUGUAUCCACGGGGUCACAGAGAGUUGGACACGACUGAGUAACUAAACUGAUGAAGCUCUCUUUCUGUCACGAUUUUAUCUUUAGUAUUUUAUUUCCAGGGCCAAGAAUAGAUAAUAAUAUUUUCAAAGUAUUUAUGAUAUCUUAAAAUAUGUUUAUUUUAGUUUUACCUUAUAUAUAUGGAAGUAUAAAUACGUUGAAAAAGCCUAUUUAUACAGUGAGCAAGGACAAUUUUUUUUUUAAUAAACAACAGUUAUAUUUGAUUGCCUUUUAAAAGCAGGUUCAAGUAUUUACUCACAUUGACGAUACACAUUUAUGUCUAAAAAAAUCAAAUUGGGCUUCCUUAUUCUGGUUUUUGUUUUCUUUUUAAAAAAUUUUUAUUGGAUUAUAGUUGAUUUACAAUGUUGCAUUAGUUUUGCAUGUAUAGGAAAGUGAAUCUCUCAUGUGUGUGUGCUCAGUUGUGUUUAACUCUUUGUGACCCCAAACAUUGUAGCCCACCAGGCUCCUCUGUCCAGAAUUUCUUACACAUAUACUUAUAUCCACUCUUUUUAAGAUUAUUUUCCCAUAAGGCCAUUGCAGAGUAUUCAAUAUAGUUCCCUAUGCUAUACAGAUAAGUCCUUAUUAGUUAUCUAUUUUACAUAUAGUUUUGUGUUUGAGUCAAUCCCAAUCUCCCAAUUUAUCUUUCCCUUACUUACCUCAUGGUAACCAUAAGCUUAUUUUUUAUAUCUCUAACUCUAUUUCUAUUUUAUAGAUAAGUUCAUUGGUACCAACUUUUUUAGAUUACAUAUUUAAGUGAUAUCAUGUGAUAUUUCUCUUUGUCUGGUUUACUUCACUCAGUAUGACAAUCACUAGAUCCAUCCAUGUUGCUGCAGAUGACAUUAUUUUGUUCUAUUUUUUUGGCUGAGUAGUAUUCCACUGUGUACAUAUACCACAUAAUACCACAUCUUCUUUAUCCAUGCCUCUAUUGAUGGACAUUUAGGUUGCUUCUGUGUUCUGGUUAUUGUAAAUAGUGCUGCAGUGAACAUUGGGGUGCAUGUAUUUUUGAAUUAUGGUUUUCUCUGGAUAUAUGCCCAACAGCAAGAGUACUGGAGUGGGUUGCCAUUGCCUUCUCUGAAAGAGUCAUACAGGACUUAACAAUUGAACAACAACAAUAUUUUGAAGAUCUUGUGAGACAAUAUACAUGAAAAUACCUUGUGAUCAUACAGUACUGAAUAUUGGUAACAUUUAAAAAAAAUAUCAGUUGGAUAAGCUUUUUUGUGGAAAUGUUAGGAACUGACAUUUUUUUGUUCUUUCUUAACAUUGACCAGUAGACAGCUUAGAAUGAUACAAUGAUUCUCUUCUCAUAUCAGCAAUUAAAUGAUAAGUACAUUUCUCAAUUCUUAUAUGGCAAUAUCUUUGGGAAUAAGAAUAAUUAGGUCCUAUUUCAUGCAUAAACCAUACCAGUAAAAUUAGAUCAUAGGAUAUUAUCUUUGGGAAUAAGAUGGUAUAAUUAAGUCCUAUUUCAUGACAUGUCCUAUUUCAUGGACUUCCCUGGUGGCUCAGAUGAUAAAGCGUCUCCCGCAUUGCAAGCAGACACUUUGACCUCUGAGCCACCAGGGAAGCAGGGCAGGUUCUAAAGCAGCUUGGGAAAUGGCUUGAGCGGAAACAAGGAUGGGUGACUGCCAUUGAAUUUUGUGAUGGUUAACAAGUAGGCCUAAGAAAAUUGGGACUGUAUGCAUACAGGCCUGGGUGUUUGCAUAGUUGUAACUGCAAGCUGGCACCUAAGGAGAAGGUACCCAGGUUUCCUUAUCAGCUUGCUCAUUUGUGAGACAAAAGGGAAACAAGUGAUAGGAUUUGCAAGCUAUCAUAUCAAAUAUGAAAAGUAGAACUAAUUCUAUUACAAUGAUGUUUUCCCCUGAAAAGAUUGUCCCUAAUCCCACCCCAGGAAAUGACUGUAUAACUGAGUGUAGUAUCUUGGCUGAGUGUCCUGGGUAAAGAAAUGUAAAUCCUGAAAAAAAAAAUCAAUCAAUUAUUACCAUCUUCAUUCUCAUCAUUUACAUUAUAAAAUGAGUCCAAAUCUUAACUCUUCCUUUCCCUGGCUUGACCCACAUUGGGUCAUUUUUUGGGGAAAAUAUGACCUAUUACACCCAAUGUGGUGGCCCCCUCCCCAAGGAAUCUUCCCAACUCAGGGAUCAAACUUGCAUCUCUUAUGUCUCCUGCAUUGAUAGGCAGAUUCUUCACUGCUAGUGCCAACAGAUGAGCAAUUUAAGAUCCAGAGAAUAUUAGGAAGCCAGGGAAAGGAAGAGUCAAGAUUUGGACUCAUUUUAUAACUUUAUCAGAUUUCAAGCUCAGUUGUUACUUUAAAAACAGUUAUAUUUCUGUUUUGUGUUCUUUAAAAAUUUAUUUUUUAAUUGAAGGAUAAUUGCUUUACAGAAUUUUGUUGUUUUCUGUCAAAUGUUCUGUGCUUUUUUUUUUUUUCCUCUAGUCCACAGACAGAAAGCAGAAUAAAUUAGCAAAUCAAAUGCAGAGAAUAGAGUGUAGGUCACCAGAGAGGAAGGGUCUAGGGGAUGGGGAAAGGAUAAAAUGGUAAAAGAGAUCAGCUAUAUGGUGAUGGAUGGAAAGUAACUUUUUGAUAGUGAGCACAAAAAUUUCAGAAAUUGAAAUAUAAGUACACAUUAAAUAUGUACAAUAUUAUAAACCAAUGUUACCUCAAUAAAACAUAAAUCUAAAAAUGUUUCAUAAUUUAAGAACAAUUAUACAAUUGUUGCUUAUUUUAUGUAGCUUACGUUGAAAACAUACAUCUUUUAUGAAAUUUUACUAUUUUCUUCUAUAUUUAUACUAGAAUUAUAGUGACUAAAAAUAAGGGAAAUUAUUUUACUUGGCAAGAAAUAUGCAACUGUUGGGGAUCUUUUAGGAAUAUCCUCAAUGGGAUUUGCAUGACCUCCUCUUUCUAUUAUAAAUCACAGUUUGAUUGUGUCAGUAUCUUCCUGUAGAGCCUUUAAUGGUUUAUCUCAACCUGUAGAGUCAAGCAUAAAUUUAUGUCUCUCUAAAUUUACAUAAGUCUUGUUUUUAAAAUUUUUAAAAAUCAGUCCUUAUAUUCAGUGUGACUUUAUUGAAACCUUUGUAUAAGCCUAAAUUUCUAAGAAAGUGAAGUAGAGGGAACCCACCAAAUAUAGCCUGUUGGAAUGUACAUAAUGAUUCAAAAUAUUAUUCAUGUUAUAAGAUCCAUAUCCUUAGUUCCGUUCAGUCCAGUUCAGUUCAGUCGCUCAGUCGUGUCUGACUCUUUGUGAACCCAUGAAUUGCAGCACACCAGGUCUCCCUGUCCAUCACCAACUCCCGGAGUUCACUCAAACUCACGUCCAUCGAGUCGGUGAUGCCAUCCAGCCAUCUCAUCCUCUGUUGUUCCCUUCUCCUCCUGCCCCCAAUCCCUCCCAGCAUCAGAGUCUUUUCCAAUGAGUCAACUCUUCGCACGAGGUGGCCAAAGUACUGGAGUUUCAGCGUUAGCAUCUUUCUUUCCAGAGAACACCCAGGACUGAUCUCCUUUAGAAUGGACUGGUUGGAUCUCCUUGCAGUCCAGGGGACUCUCAAGAGUCUUCUCCAGCACCACAGUUC
ensembl:lncRNA